rnacentral:rRNA from 1 species
UGGGGGAUAUUGCACAAUGGGCGAAAGCCUGAUGCAGCGACGCCGCGUGGGGGAUGAAGGCUUUCGGGUUGUAAACCUCUUUCGCUAUCGAACAAGGCCCGCUUAGGGUGGGUUGAGGGUAGGUGGAGAAGAAGCGCCGGCUAACUACGUGCCAGCAGCCGCGGUAAUACGUAGGGCGCGAGCGUUGUCCGGAAUUAUUGGGCGUAAAGGGCUUGUAGGCGGCUUGUUGCGCCUGCUGUGAAAACGCGGGGCUUAACUUCGCGCGUGCAGUGGGUACGGGCAGGCUUGAGUGUGGUAGGGGUGACUGGAAUUCCAGGUGUAGCGGUGGAAUGCGCAGAUAUCUGGAGGAACACCGAUGGCGAAGGCAGGUCACUGGGCCAUUACUGACGCUGUGGAGCGAAAGCAUGGGUAGCGAACAGG